rnacentral:RNase_P_RNA from 1 species
CAAGCAGGUCGUUCUAUCGCUACAGAUGUAGAGGAAAGUCCGGGCAAUACAGAGUACCGUCCUUCUUAACGGGAAGAUAGGCGCGAGCUUAUAGUCGUAUGGAAGAAAACAACCGCCCUUCGGGGUAAGGGUGAGAACGUGAGGUAAGAGCUCACGCACAGUUUUGGUGACAAGGCUGUGGCAUGCCUGACGGAUUGCAAGACCAUGUACACCAGCAAUUAAGGUUUACUCGACCGUUGUUGGGGGGUAGGUUGCUAGAGACUGUCGGUGACGGCAUUCCGAGAUAAAUGAUAGAACCAUUGUUUCGACAAAUGGACAGAACCCGGCUUAUAGACUUGCUUGUUUU